AUGUUACCUGGUUGGGAGAUACCAUGAUCAACGAGGGUGGUUUUCCCAGGGUGAGUCUCACCCAUUCUUUGGGUGUGCUGACCCCUGCCAUUUCCCCAAAUGUGGGAAACUUGACUGCAUACUUUGUGGUAGUGGGAACUGCAUUUGCCCUUUCCCU